AUACGUCAAUAAUACUGAGAUAUUUAGCUUAUUAUUUUAUUAAGAAAUUACAUUGAGAUAAUUUUGUAUAUCUUUAGGCGACGAAGAAGUUUCUGCAUUUCUUCGAAAUGUUCAAGAGAUCAGAGCCGAAGAGCUCUUGCCAACGGAAGUAAUGGACAAGCUAAAAAAAUUAGAAGAUUCUGUUGAGAAUCUAAGUAAGCAGUUUGUUAUUGUUGUUGUCAUGCUCUUUAUUUUUUUUAUUACAUAUUUAUUUAACAUAAAGUUAUUCUAUAUAUGGCAAGUUAGUUUAUUUUAAUGUUUAUAAGUUUUUCAUUUUAUUUA